rfam:Heliobacterium modesticaldum Ice1, complete genome.
AUGUGCCUGCCGUGUUCGUCAGCCCAUGAAUGUUUCUAACCUACAGGAAACAUUCGGGAGUCAAUACCGGCGGUGGCUGCCAGGCCAACGUUGAUUGGAAGGCAAAAGCGUGCCGUGAGGCGCCCACCUGCGAGACGCAGGUUUAGAAACCACGGUGCAACGGCAUAGCGGGUACAUU